rnacentral:lncRNA from 1 species
CUUUAACCGCUGCUUUGAAAUUGAAUUUUCCGUUGCAAUUCGCUAUUUUGAUUUGAAGGCGGUUUUCAUCUAUUUAUUAUCUAAUUAUAGUGCUUUAUUGUGUGUGAAUGUUUUUGUAAACAAUAUAUUAUAAAAGCAAUCAUUUAGUGUUUACCGGUUUAAAUGUGUAAUUGUUUUCUUCGUAUAGUUUGGUUUAUUUGAUAAUAUAAUGGUUUAUAAGUGCUCUGUUCCCGGGUGCAGUACUCGAGGCCGAGGUAUUAAAUAUUAUAGUGUGCCGUUCACAAAUAAAAAAAGACAAAAAUCCUACUCAUUGGCAACCAAAGGGCAAAGUGGGAGUAUAUUGAGAGACUUUAUAAAGUGGAUGGUUUUGGUGGCAGAGCAAGAAGCACCAAACUUACUGAGAAGCACAUAAAUCCAACUUCAUAUGACAAAAUGAAGGUCAAAUUUGCAGCCCAAGUUUUUAGCACGGCAAGUGGCUACAUCACUAGAAAUCCAGAUGAAGUCUCUGCUAUCUCUCAAGGAUCAUGAUUACAUAAGUUUAAAUAAAGACAUUGGAAAUGGUUUGUUCACAGCAGAAAUUCUUCUUUUAUAAAUAAUUUCUUUGAUAGUUUAAAUGGUCUUGGUCAUUAUGGGAAUAAGUUAAAACAUGCUCUUUCAUAUAAUUCGGAGCACAUUGCGUUCUGGAAUGAUGCUGUGAAAAAGCUAGCUUCAAUGCGCUUUGACGCUUCCAAUGAAAGGGAAAGGAAACCCUUAUCACUGAAGCAUUUUGAACAUAAUAUAAAAACAAUAAAACAUUUGUGGUCAGAUCUGCUGAGAAUUGAUGGUGUUAAAUUUUUAAGUCUUAGACGUCUUAAUCAAGAUCCGAUAGAAAACUUUUUUGGUCAAAUAAGGGCACAUGGUAAUUUUAGUACAAAUCCUAAUUGUACUCACUUUGUAUCGGCUUCUAAAACCUUGUUGAUUAACAACAUUACUACCGGUAAAUCUUUAUACACUAAUUGUUCUGAUGAUGAUGACAAAAUGUUGGGAACAUUAAACAUUUAGUCAGCCACCAAAAAUAUGGUUCAUACACUGAUAGUCUUCAAUGUAAUGAAACUAACUUUAUAGAAAUUUCUAUACCUAACGAGAAUAUAUUCCAACAUAUGUCUGUAGUCUGUACCAUAUAUUGCUGGUGCAAUUUGUCGUUUUUUGAUGUCCAAUUUGACCUGCAAAGAUUGUGAUAAUUGUACAAAAGCACUAUUAUCUCAGAGAGAGUCUAAUGUAGAUAGGUUAUCUUAUCCUUCUAAUAAUUUUAGUCAAAUGGUCUGGCAGAGUAUUUACAUUAUUGAGAAGAUGAUGCCUUUCUUUGCAGUGUUUAUAUUUAUUCUGAAUUAAUAAGUAAUUUAAUAAAAUAUAUUGACACUACUUGGUUCAACUGUAAGAUUCACAAAACAGCUGUUAUUAAAGCUUUUUGGUCCUACAUAGUUAGAAUGCAAGUUAAGCAGUGGUGUAUUAAUUUUAAUAAUAGAAUGAAUAAUAUUGAUUCAAGGCCUAAAGAUAUAGAAAUGGAAACUCUAAUCCGUGAGAAAGUUACAAAAGGAUUGAGUUAUAGAUCACAAAGAAGGCGUAGUUCCUAAUCUCACUUAAUUAAAGUUCUUCAUAGUAUUUUGUCCACAAUUAUUACGAUUUUUGCAAAUGAAAUUGAUGUUUUUUAAAGUGUAUUACCCACAUUUU